AACGAACGCUGGCGGCAUGCCUAACACAUGCAAGUCGAACGAGACCUUCGGGUCUAGUGGCGCACGGGUGCGUAACGCGUGGGAAUCUACCCUCAGGUUCGGAAUAACUCAGAGUAAUUUGAGCUAAUACCGGUUGAUGACGUAAGUCCAAAGAUUUAUCGCCUGAGGAUGAGCCCGCGUAGGUUUCGGUAGUUGGUGAGGUAAAGGCUCACCAAGCCGACGAUCCUUAGCUGGUCUGAGAGGAUGACCAGCCACACUGGGACUGAGACACGGCCCAGACUCCUACGGGAGGCAGCAGUGGGGAAUAUUGGACAAUGGGCGAAAGCCUGAUCCAGCAAUGCCGCGUGAGUGAUGAAGGCCUUAGGGUUGUAAAUCUCUUUUACCCGGGAUGAUAAUGACAGUACCGGGUGAAUAAGCUCCGGCUAACUCCGUG
rnacentral:rRNA from 1 species